rnacentral:lncRNA from 1 species
UUGGUGAUAAAGUCAAAGUACAUCUAAUAAUACUACUGUGGUUUUGUUGACAACAUUUGCAAUUGAACGAAAUUCUAGUUGUCAGGUAGAGGUUUGUGAUUAAAAAUAAUAAAGAAUUUUUUCCUUCCCAAGCUCACGAAGUCCCUAAAUUCUAUCCCCGCACUCCAGGUCCAAAACGUCAAUCCUCCCUGUCCUUUCCUGUGAUUCUUCCAAGGCUGUCUUCAGAGGAAGAGGCUGGGAGCAGCGGUGGCCUCCAUUGUCUGUCAUGGACCUCUGCUUCCUUUAAUCAAAAGAGAAAUAAGAGUGUAAGCUACGAGGACAGAGAUCUCUGCACAGCCUGGAGAGUGCACACCAACCACUCCCACUAAACACAGGAAAGUGGACAGAUGGCCCCCUUCCACUUGAGAAAGGCGUCGUCUCCCCUCACAGGUGAU